UGCCAGCCGCCGCGGUAAUACGGGGGGCGCAAGCGUUAUUCGGAAUUAUUGGGCGUAAAGGGCGCGCAGGCGGUCUUGUCCGUCAGGUGUGAAAGCUCGGGGCUCAACCCCGGAAGUGCACUUGAAACAGCAAGACUUGAAUACGGUAGAGGAGAGAGGAAUUCCUGGUGUAGAGGUGAAAUUCGUAGAUAUCAGGAGGAACACCGAUGGCGAAGGCGGCUACCUGGUCCGUAUCUGACGCUGAGGCGCGAAGGCGUGGGUAGCGAACGGGAUUAGAUA
rnacentral:rRNA from 1 species